CCGCUCCUCAGCGGCCCCGCUCAGCUGUCCGCGUGCGCCUCACGGGUCCGCGGUGCCCUGAGCUCGCGUCCCGCUGCCGGCCCGGACACGGGGCGGCCCGCGGGAGCUGCGACCGGCUGUUGUGGCGACCACGUGCGGGAGAUCGCGCUCCCCACGGCGGGAGCGCCCGGCGCGGCGCUGGUAACAGCCACGUGCCGCUCCUCGUGCCGCAGCCAGAAAGAAUUGGGGCUUGGGGCCGAAGGGCCCCCAGGAGCUGUCACUUCUGCAAGGGUUGCUCCGGGCACUCAGACGGGUAUGCGGGGCCUGCAGCAGUCCCUUGCAAACAGCCGAGGCGCCACGGGCGACAGGAAAAAUGCCUUGAAGUUGUACAAUUGAAUAGUAUAAGAACAGAAUUUGCAAGGAAAGUGUGCGCUCCAGGAGAAGCUGAGAGAGAGAGAGCAGUGCUGCAUCGCACCCAGCUUAACCAGCAAUGGAUCCUGCUUGGUCAAAGUUGCAAGAUGGGACCAGCAUCCUUCACCAGCAUUGUCCCCUGCAUCCUUGAGUACCCAGCAUACUGCAUCGCUCUGCACCAGCAUCGCCCCCACCAAGAAGAUUGAGACAGACCGUACCAUCAUGCCUGAUGGCACUAUGGUGACCACUGUCACCACCAUUCAGUCCAGGCCCAAAGUGGACUGUGCAAGCUGGAUUCACCUUCAAGAUCUCUGUCCAAAGUCGAGGUGAUGGAGAAGAAGACAGCAGUGCUUUCAGAGAGCAGCUGUCCCAGCAACACCUCACCCAGCAGCAUGCGCGUGUCCUUUGAUACCCGAGACCUUCCUUAGUAGCAAGAAGGUCCAUCUCUGGUGGCAAAAUAUAACUCAUUCUCUUGGC